UACGGGGGGAGCAAGCGUUGUUCGGAUUUACUGGGCGUAAAGGGCGCGUAGGCGGCCACCGCAAGUCGACUGUGAAAUCUCCGGGCUUAACCCGGAAAGGUCAGCCGAUACUGCGGGGCUAGAGUGCAGAAGGGGGCAACUGGAAUUCUCGGUGUAGCGGUGAAAUGCGUAGAUAUCGAGAGGAACACCUGCGGCGAAGGCGGGUGCUGGGCUGACACGUGGACGCUGAGGCGCGAAAGCUAGGGGAGCGAACGGG
rnacentral:rRNA from 1 species